CUCUCUCACACACACACACACACACACGCAAUGAGCCAGUGUUACCAUGAUAAGUUUAUAACUUAACAACCUCGGAUGGAAACAUUUCUAAGUCUGCAACUUGUUCGGUUUUUGUUUUAAUGUGAGAACUGCUAAUAACACUACACUGAUUUCAUUUUUCACCAUGACGUCUGUGCGCCCAAAACAACUCGUCUUCCAGAAACUUACUGACCUGACUUCGGGUACACGACAGCCAUGACGUCCUCGUCUUUAAACGUGAAUUCAUGCGCAAACUUCAAGCUCUCGAAGGAAUGAGUCUCUUUAGGAAGCAUAAGUCCAUGAUACUGCAGAUACAUCUCUUCACAAGACAUUAUGUUGUGAGGAUUUAAGCAAAGCAGCUGCGAUCAAAUCUGAAAAUAAAGGAGGCUCCCUGCUGCAUUCAAGGCAGCACUGAUGCUGAUCAGACACCUGUUGGAUCUACUUUUCCCUGUGCUCUAAACACCUGAUGCAUAGUCCACAGGCCCUAAAACAUGGCCGCUUUUUUACAUCUACAUCAUCUACAUCAAGCUGAAAAGAGAUAUGAGAAUGAAUACACUGUACUGUACCUGACUUGGGGUAAGUCACAGAAAAUACAUCGGUGUCUUUCACAGAGAACUUUUCAGCGUACUCCAAGCUCUCCUUGCUGUGAGCUAGAAGGGGCAGCCGGAUUCCGUGGUACUGAAUGUACUGGGUUGAGGA